GGGGAAUAUUGGACAAUGGGCGAAAGCCUGAUCCAGCCAUGCCGUGUGUGUGAAGAAGGUCUUCGGAUUGUAAAGCACUUUAAGUUGGGAGGAAGGGCUGUAGGCUAAUAUCCUGCAGUUUUGACGUUACCAACAGAAUAAGCACCGGCUAACUUCGUGCCAGCAGCCGCGGUAAUACGAAGGGUGCAAGCGUUAAUCGGAAUUACUGGGCGUAAAGCGCGCGUAGGUGGUUGGGUAAGUUGAAUGUGAAAGCCCCGGGCUCAACCUGGGAACUGCAUCCAAAACUGCCCGACUAGAGUACGGUAGAGGGUGGUGGAAUUUCCUGUGUAGCGGUGAAAUGCGUAGAUAUAGGAAGGAACACCAGUGGCGAAGGCGACCACCUGGACUGAUACUGACACUGAGGUGCGAAAGCGUGGGGAGCAAAC
rnacentral:rRNA from 1 species